UUAGGAAUCUUCCCCAAUGGGCGAAAGCCUGAGGGAGCGAUACCGCUUGAAGGACGAAGCCCCUCGGGGUGUAAACUUCUGACCUCGGGACGAUCAUGACGGUACCGAGGUAAUAGCACCGGCUAACUCCGCGCCAGCAGCCGCGGUAAUACGGAGGGUGCGAGCGUUACCCGGUUUUACUGGGUGUAAAGGGCGUGUAGGCGGUUUCUCAAGUCCGAGGCUAAGGACCAAGGCUAAACGCCGGGUAUG
rnacentral:rRNA from 1 species